GCUCCUGUCGUCUAAGCUGGUUAGGACACCACUCUUUCACAGUGGGAACACGGGUUCGAACCCCGUCGGGAGUACCA
rnacentral:tRNA from 13 species